GUGAAUCAUCAAAUUUUUGAACGCAAAUUGCACUCCCUGGUAUUCCGGAGAGUAUGCCUGUUUGAGGGUCAGUAAAAUAAAAAUCGGUGUUGUGUUGACGUUUUGUGCUGUGACGCAUCGGGUUUGGGUCGUUUUAGCAUUGGUUUAGUGACCUAAAAUUUUGCAUGUUUUUAGCAAGUAUGUAAAUAAUUUUCGUGUGU
rnacentral:misc_RNA from 1 species